rnacentral:rRNA from 1 species
GCAAGUCGAGCGAACAGAGAAAGUGCUUGCACUUUCAAAGUUAGCGGCGGACGGGUGAGUAACACGAAGGAACCUACCGAUAAGCGGGGGACAACAUCCGGAAACGGGUGCUAAUACAGCAUAGGAAGUUUGUUCGCAGUAACAAACUUAGAAAGAUGGCUCUGCUAUCACUUAGCGAUGGCCUUGCGGUGCAUUAACUAGUUGGCGAGGUAAUGGCCCACCAAGGUGAUGAUGCAUAGCCGACCUGAGAGGGUAAUC